UGCUCAGAACUCUCUGGCCCGGGUUUAAAUCUCCUACUUGGCCGUUUUUAUCAAGCGGUGCAACGUCAGUGGGGCCCAGUUAGCUAGCUGGUUUAAAUUUACUAUUGUGAAAUAUUGUAUAAAAGUUUAGUUAAAUUCUAUAGUUUAUGACCACAAGUUAUGGCCGGCAGCGCCCGAGGCGAUGACUUUGACGAGUGUGAAGAGCCAGGGGGCACGAGGUGGUGCGAAUGGAUGAGGGACGAUGACAAUUCGGGCAGUUUAAUUGUCCCUCAGAGUGAGCUGGAGGGUGACGACUUUGAAGAUGAAUGGCUUGCACCCAAACAGACCCUCUCCGACAUGCAGGAUGAAGAGCUGGACGAUGACCUUCUGCACAGUGACGACGACGGCCCCAGUCCUGGUGUCACUGCCGGCCAGGACUCGACAUUUGACCCCACCUCGCAGACCUCGACCAAAGCAGGACGACCCGGGGGUGAUGAGGGCCCGGGUGUCGUCAGGGUGGACGACCGGGCCGGCACCCCUGCUGAUGGGGGGGUCAGCGCUGAGGAUGUGGUGGACAUCGGAAUUGGUGGCUCGUUGGACAAUGAAUUUCAAGUGGAUGAUGGUUUUUCUGGAGUUAUCAGGAGUCCGCCAGUAGCCGUCGAGGUCCAGGAGACUGUCGAGGAUGAGGCUGACAGAGGGGAGACUUCAGAAGCGGUUAGCGAGGAGGAAGAGAAUGAAACGUGGAUAGAGGAGCUCAAGAGGGAGUCGGAGCUGUCAGAGGAGGAGGAUGAAGAGGAAGACCAGGAAUCCCAUCGGCUCCGCUUCAAGACAGAACGAAAAGACGCUUCCGCAGUUCCUCUCUCAUCCGUGGCAGACAAACGGAGGAACAUUCCGGAAACCUUAGAGCUUUCGGAGGAGGCCGCAGCCACCCUGUUUCUCCAGGCGACGACGCGGACACGCGGCUGGCUCGGCAGGAGGGGGAGAGGAGGCAGGGCUGGCUGCUCUACGCCCAGGCUGCAGGACGUCGGUCACAGAGGACAGGUGGGAGCCCUGUCUCUCCGCCCACCCUACCCCCCUGGGUCCUUCAGUCUGGCCGCCUCUCAGGCCCGUGGUUCGUGGAGGAGCCUCUCGCCGAUUCAAGAUACCUCCUUAAGUCACAGUCAGGCAGUCACCCCCCACCCCACCACAAAGCUGCAGUCAGCAGAUUCCCCGCUCUCCGGGUGGGCCAAGAUCCACCGCACCUCAUCCCAGUGGCACCACCUGGCUCCAUCCAAGCAGCUGUUCCCACCGUCAGGGCUGACCUGCCCACCGCAGAGCGCACGCCUCGGGAAACAGGGUUUCAUAAAUCUGCUGCCACGCCGGCCGAUCCGAAACCGCACCACCCAGCUAGUGCCUCAGCCCUGCCCCCUUAUGCCCCCACUAUCUCACAGUACCCCCCUGCAGCAAGCCCGGGCCCCCAUCCGGCAAGCAUAUGGGAGCGAGUGCCAGACCGGCCUCCUGGCCCCGCCUCCCCCCGCAGCACAAGUGCGGCCGUUCGCCAGGCAGCCGCGCAGCACACAGGAGACGCCCGUGUGCACUGCCAAGGCAGAGUGCAAGCCCGGCGUGCACCCGGGGAGGGGGGCGCCAGCUGACCUUUCUCAGAAAUCUGGCCCUGAGGGGUCUGCUGAGGAUGAGGAAGCCAGGAGGUACGGACAAAAGCUGGAGGAACAGAGGCGGCUUCGGGAGAAGCUGUUACAGCACAAGGAGCUGCGGAGGCGACAGCAGGCUGAAAUGCGCAAGAAGGAGCUCCUGCAGCUGGCUGGAGCACCCCCUGCAGGCUGUGAACCGCAAGUGCGUCCUCUCAUGGUACAUAGCCUGCCAGCUGCAGCCCCAAGCAGAGUCCAGCACCUGGCCCCACCCACCAGCGCCCCCUUCAGACUAAAUGCGGCCCAGCAGGUUUCUUCAGGAAUGCCCGUCUCUUCAGAGCGGCAGCUGGGUGUGACGACCUUCCUGCCGAGCCGGUGGCGAUCCGCGAGCGGACCCGGCGCCCGCUGGCCUCAGAGAUACAGCCCACCGCUUGACCAGAGGACCGGACUGAAACGGAUCGUGACGCAGCAAGAUGUCAGUCACCCUCUCAAAGUCAGGGUGGUGCAGCUCCUCGAAGUACAGGCAGCAGGGGGCGACGGGGACUCCCGCCCCAGAAAGCAGACUUCUCAAGAGAGGAAUGUUACCCUGAGGAGGUGCAUCCAACAGGAGCCCACGACACCUGGGGGGGGAGAUGGCGAGGGAGCCCCCCCAACAAACUGGAUUCAGCCUGGAGAGGACAGAGGACACCAAACCUCCCGAGGAAUGCAGCCGUCCCGCGGUGCCUUUUGUACCUGCGAGUGGCCGAGGUCACAGCUGCUCUUAGCUCCCGAGUCUCCUGCAUGUUUCAGCUUUGCAGUGUCAACAGAACGUAGGAUCCUUGAGAGACCCUGUCCAGAUCAUUCAUCAGUAUUUAGCCACCUGUCUUUGUCCCAAGUGCAUUGACUGGAUGCUGGGGCAGCUCUAUAGAAACAGGGCUUUACUGGAGGAUGUUAAGUGGCCAGAUUGAUGAUCUCUCAUGAUGCUGACAUCUUAUUGGCUGUCCGAGGAAACCUUACAGGGUGCUCCGUAAGUUCUGCCGGGAUCUCCCCGCAAUGACGAUGCAUCUCAGGCCAGAUGAAGCCGCUGAGCCUGUGAUCACGUUCAUCCGUUUGGCAGGUGGCAUCGCAGAGAGACGCCAUAAAGUCGUGUCCACCCACGUGAACGUCCUUGGAUUGCGGGUGAGGUCACGUGCAUUGGCGUUACCUUUAGAAUGACCGACUUCUUCAGUUACCUAAAAGUAAAUGUAUGUUAUGUAAGAUAUGAUUCUUAAAAGUAAGUUAUCGAUAUUUACUAUUUCCUUUUCCAACAAAAAGAAGUAGGUCCAUUGUAGUUUCAGUUCUUUUUGCUAGAUAGAUGUAAGAAAGAGAGCUCAGCUGAAAGAAACGAUAGGAAAGCAUGAUGAUUUAAAUAUGUUUCGCUUUCAGCUGCAGAACAACCUGGAAACAUUUGAAGAUUCAGUCACAACUAAAUGCAGCAGUUACAUUCUGUCAUAAAUGUCAGCAUAUUUAACAGAAAGAUGAGAACACUGAAUGUUUUCUCACUUUGAAAUAAUCACACACUUUAAACUUUACAAAUUAACACUUUGGACAGUUAAACGGCGUGCGGCCUCAUUGUAUAUGAUCAACGUAAGUGUGAAUCUCACAGUUUUCAUGUAUAUUAGAUUUUCUCCGUAUUAAACAUUAAAAAUAUCGGCUUGUAUCCUAGUCUUACAGCAGUUGUUUAUACUUUAUUUUUCAUGUAUGCAUUGUUGGAAAAAAAGACACAAAACGCAGUGGAUACUGACCAAUUUUAGCAUUUGAACAGGUAGCUUACAUCAUAAUAACAACAAUAACCUAAUUUUAAACGAUUUCCUAGACUUAAU